AGAAUUUGAUCAUAGUUCAGGGUGAACGUUGGCGGCGUGCCUAAGGUAUGCAAGUCGAACGAUUCUUUGGUUUUUGAAACUUCGGUUGAUAAAACCUUUUGUAAUAGUGGCAAACGGGUGAGUAAUGCAUAGGUAAUCUGCCUCGAAGUCAGGAAUAGCCUCGCGAAAGCGGGAAUAAUACCUGAUAGUCCCAUGACCGUGAAGGUCCAUGGGUAAAGCUCCGGCGCUUCGAGAUGAGCCUAUGUCCUAUCAGCUUGUUGGUGAGGUAAAAGCUCACCAAGGCUAAGACGGGUAGCUGGCGUGAGAGCGCGGACAGCCACAAUGGAACUGAGACACGGUCCAUACUCCUACGGGAGGCAGCAAUUAGGAAUCUUGCGCAAUGGGGGCAACCCUGACGCAGCGACGCCGCGUGGAGGAUGAAGGUCUUCGGAUUGUAAACUCCUUUUAUAUGGGAAGAAAAACUGACGGUACCAUAUGAAUAAGUGCCUGCUAACUACGUGCCAGAAGCAUCGGUGAUGCGUAGGGCACAAACGUUACCCGGAGUUAUUGGGCGUAAAGAGAUGCGUAGGCGUCUCGGUAAGUCUUGUGUUAAAGGCCUCUGCUCAACAGAGGAAAAGCAUCGGAUACUGCCGAGAUUGAGGUAAAGAGGGGUGAGUGGAAUUCCUGGUGGAGCGGUAAAAUGCGUUGAUAUCAGGAGGAACACCAGAGGCGAAGGCGACUCACUGGCUUUAGCCUGACGCUAAGGCUCGAAAGCAUGGGGAGCAAAACGGAUUAGAUACCCGUGUAGUCCAUGCCGUAAACGAUGAAUGCUAAGUGUUUGACACGACGGUAUAUUUUCUUCGGAAUUUAUACUGAAGUGUUGAGUGCUGCAGUUAACGCAAUAAGCAUUCCGCCUGGGGAGUACGGCCGCAAGGCUAAAACUCAAAUGAAUUGGCGGGAACCCGCACAAGCGGAGGAGCGCGUGGUUUAAUUCGAUGGCAAUCGAAGAACCUUACCAGGACUUGACAUGUAACUGCUAAACCUAUGAAAGUAGGAUUCCUUUGAGGGUGUUACACAGGUGCUGCAUGGCCGUCGUCAGCUCGUGUCGUGAGAUGUAGGGUUAAGUCCCGAAACGAGCGCAACCCCUAUCCCAUGUUACAAGUGUCUUGGGAAACUGCCUCGGUAAAACGGGGAGGAAGGUGGGGAUGACGUCGGGUCCGCAUGGCCCUUAUGUCCUGGGCGACACACACGCUACAAUGGUCGGUACAACGGGCAGCCAAACCGUAAGGUGGAGCUAAUCCUAAAAAACCGAUCUCAGUUCGGAUUGAGGUCUGAAAUUCGACCUCAUGAAGUUGGAUUCGCUAGUAAUCGCAGAUCAGCCAUGCUGCGGUGAAUACGUUCUCGGGUUUUGCACACACCGCCCGUCACAUCAUGGAAGUGGACAGUACCCGAAGGUACG
rnacentral:rRNA from 1 species